rnacentral:lncRNA from 1 species
GUACGUUAAUGUUUGCAUAUGCAAUCAAGUCCUAGUUUAAGCUUAUCAGCCCGUAAAGCUGUAAGGGAAUAAGACCAAAUGGCAGGUACCAGCACCAUCUUAUAGCCUGAUCAAAUUGACACCUGAAAGUGCCAUUGAGUAAUACAGAGUAAACAAGAAAUAACAAGCAUACAAGCACAUAAUCAUAACUCUUAACAAAGUUGGAAAUGAUCUAAAGUAAGAAAUCAGGCAGCAGGUUGGAAGGUUACACUGAGGGCAAGAUUGGUAAAAGUUGAGCUCUCCUUACCAUGUCAGUGUAGUUGGCUUUUCUCUCUUCCUCCUCACCUCCAUAAAAGACAUGAUACUUCUCAUACCUGAAUCAUUAACAUAAUCUUAUAUGACAGAACUCAAUUACAGUUGCAUAAAUUUCAGGAGUUAAGACACAGAACUUUAAGUGAUCAUGCAUAUAAUGCAAGGACAUACAGUUCGAUUUCUAAGAAACCAUCCAGUGGUCUAGUUGAGGACGGGGAUAUACAUCGCUUUGCCUAUUUUGUCAUUAAUUGUUAGCCAAGCCUAAGUGCCCUGCCUACCAUACAAAAGGGGAGGAUCCUAAUUAUACCAACUACCCAGUCUAAAACCGUAAUUGGGCGGAGUGAAGAUCAAUUUCAAAAAUGGAGGAAAAGAAUUUAUGUAGCAGUCCAAUCUACUUCAAGAUAACUGACUUACAGAGUUGGUAUGUCCAUAAACUGCUAUUAUUAUAUGUAAUAUAGCACAAACAUAUUUAAUUCAAUUGAUUUGAGGGGAAAAGUUUGGCCUGCAUAUAGACUUUCCUCAAAAAAGUCCAAUGCUGUUCUGAUCCACCAGCCCGUUCGAAACAAAUAAUAAAACAUCUACAACUUUAACAGCUAGCAGUCAUGACCAAGUCCAUGUCCCACACAUUUUUAUUUGAUUCCUUAAUAAUAUAGCCAAAAGGAGAAACACCCAAACGUCAGUUUCAAUGACUGUAUCCGCACUACCCAGAAACUGAAGAAUCUUAUAUUUGACAGCUGGAGAUUAAACUUAGUGUACACAUAAAAAGUAGUAGAAAUGAAGGGUUAUUUUUUUUUUUUUCAGUUUUACGGUGAGGGGACAAUGUAGAGAAACUGUAAGCUCGAUCUGGAAAUUAAAGUCAUCUCAGAGAGAGAUGAUGAGCCAAAAAUCAAGAUUAAGUAAAGAGAUAUUAAUCUUAACGUAAGAGAAAAGAGUAAAUCAAGCCAAAAAGCUCACUCCACGGAGUGGGAAAGAGACAUUAAACCAUUUUAAUUAAGAGAAAGAUAUCCAAGUCAAAGCCUAGUCUAAGAAAGAUGUCAUUUUGUAGUGUGUUCAAGCCAAUUUCUCUUUUACUUUAUACAUGAACAUACGCCAUUGCCAGAUGUAAGAAUAUAAAACAGAGGAAGGAAAGCAUAAACGUAAAGAUAAAGAAUAAAUCUAAAGAAAAGAAGAAAAGAAAAGCGAAUAUUAAUUAAAGCAACAGAUUCAAAAGCUAAAACCAAAAAAGAAACGGAAGAUGAAUAAUACUUUUCAACAGCAGAGAGGACAUCGGUUUUCUCAAUCUUGCCACCGAGACCCGAGGCGAGAUCCAAUGCACCAGCCUUCGACAUUCUCGCUUCCACCCGCAACAAAUCUAAAUUCUGUUUCUUCUUCUUCUGUUAAAAAAAAAAACAAGAAAACAAGAAAACGAAGAACAAAGUUAUUCAAGAUUCCAUUAAAGCUUUUCGGAUUCCUUAACAAGAACCAAAGCAAGUCGAAAAGAAGAACAAGUUUCAGAUGAAAAUGCAGAAAGCGAGAUAAAAGAAAAGAGGGAAAAACAAAAUUGGGAAGCAGCGCAAAGAGCAAAAGGUCAAGAGAGUACCAGCUGGGGGAGUGGAAAAACACUAAUUUGCAAAGACAAAAAAGGGAGGGAUGUAUGGUUUAAAUAUCCCCAGUGGAAAUACCCCGUGAGAUACCAUACAGGGGCAGGCUGCGACCUUUUUUGCACUACCUACCGUCACCUUUCACCAACAUUUAACGGACCCAGAGCAGAUUCUACCAUCCCCCAUUGAUAAAUACUCUGGAAUCUAACGUUGAAAUCUUCCUUCUUUUCUUCUGAUUUAACCAAAUACUAGUAUAAUAACCAUUACCUUCUAAAUUUUAGGCAAAAUGAUGCUUGUCAUAAGGGAUAAGUAUUCGGCCAAUUUAGUCAAUUCAGUUUUAAAAUUUAAAAAAAAAACAAAUUAACAAAAUUUUUAUAAAAAGUAAUCGAAUUGGUCAAAUUAUAUUCUAGAACCCAAAUAACUGAAAUCGAUUCUAUGUUUGAUUUAGUUAAAUUUAUUAUUUUUAUUAAUAGUACUACUAAUUUUUUAUUAAUAAUAUUUAUAUAAUAUAUAUUAUAAAUUAUUAAAUUUUCUAUUGAUUUGAUUUAAAUGUUCUGUGAUUAAAAAUAAUAUAAUAAAUCAAACUACGUAAUCAAUAAAUAUCAAAAUCAAACAAAUUGAACCAAUCAAAUUUUGAUCGAAUUGAUUAAUACUCACCUUACUCAGCUUUAUUUAAAAAUAAUGUCACGAGAGUGCCUUUGAAUGUUUUUUUACUGUGUCAUACCGUACAAAAAAAGUUUAAGAGGAACUACAAAUUUCGACUCAUCAUUAAGUGUCACACAGUGUUUUAAUAACCCAAAAAAAUUAAUAAGAAAAUUAAAAAAUAUAUAUAUAUGGGACAUGACCAUGUUUGGUUGGUAGGGUCGAAUACAUAUUUUGAAAAGUGAAAUUAAAAAUUAUUUACAAAGUACAUAAUUUGACUUAAGAAUAGUACAAUAAUAUUUUAUUAUUGAUGUGUUUUUGAGACCACAAAGUAAUUGAUAUGAUUAAUGAUAAUUUGAUGUGAUCCACUGCAUUGCUGCAUUGGUCCCAUGUCAUAGAAAAUAUUUUUGGAAUUUGGGAAAGGUUUUUUUUGAAUUUAAAAAAAAAAAUUUGAACUCUACUAUUUAAGUAAGAAAAAUCAUAUACCAAUUAAUGAAUUAAAUACUCAUAUGUAAUAUUAAGUUUAACUAUAAUUAAAUUUUCAUUUAUAUUAAAAAUUUGUUAGAGUAUAAAUCAAAGAUUAAAGAUUUGUUUAAAUAUGAUAAAUUAUUACAAAUUUAAUUGAAAAAAAAGGAACAUAGUUCAAAAUUUUUUAAGUAUUUUAAGUCUUUGUUUUUCAUUUAUAUCUAUUUUUCAAUUUAAAAUUAAUUACUUUGAUUAUAAAAAAUGGGUGGGGGAGUAAUGUCAAAUGGAAAAGGGCUACAUCUACAUGAUAGAUGUGAUGAAACCCUUAAAAGUUAGAAUACUUGCCCACCAUGCCUAAUCCAUAAAUACCUGUGGUUUAUUCUUUUUGUAUUGCGACUAUUACUAUCUAUCUUCUUAUCCUAAAAUAAAUUUUUAGAUAAAACCCAUUUUUUUUGUCAAUUUGCCUAAUUAUUUCGUACUUUCUUUGUAUUAAGUUCUUUAAUAGGAAUAAAUCAAUCAUUUUAUGUCGUUGAGUUUAAAAAUCUUUACAAAUACAAUUAAACAAGUCAAUCUCGACUUAACUUUUAUCGACAAAAUCUAUUUUUUUUUUUACAUUUCUAAUUAUAUUAAUAGUUUUACAUCUCUAAUUAUAUCAAUAUUACAAAAAUUGUGCGGUGGAGGAGAGUAGUAAAAUAAUGAAAUAAUAAUUUGAAAUUACACAAAGUCAAAACAUUUUUACAGUUUUACUUCCAAUUGAUUAUUAUUUUUUUGUUAUUAAAAAACAAGACAAUAAUUAAACUACUAUCUUCUUUUGCAAAAAUUUGGGAUAUUUUUUCUGAGAUUUCGAAUUCAAGAUUUAAAAAUAAAUUAUAUAAAAUUUAAUAAUUUUUAUUGCAUAAAUGAAAAUGUUUAUAUAUUCUUACACGACAUAGAUAUUGUUGGAGUGUAGAAUGACUUAAAAGAGUGAACUGGGCGUCAGCCGUGAGGCAGAGACAGGGGAGAGAGUCCAUGAGCAGCUUGUGAACGUGCAUUUUGGUGAGAAGCCAGCCAGUAGAAAGAAGAGGUUUUUGGGAAUCCGAGCUGUGUCCCCAAGACUUUCAAGUGUCAAGGGGGGGACACAGCAGCGCAGAGUUGAGUGUCUUUUCUUUCCUCAACAGUCAGCACAUGUAAACUAAACUCCAAACCAAACACUUCUCCCUGUUCUCUCCUUGUUUGCCACGUCCUCUUUGUCUGUACUCACGUGCCCCAGUCCACCAAAUUACAAAAUCACCAUUACAAACAAAAUCAAACUAAAUCGAAUUUGCAAUUUAAAAAUUCGAUAAUUUAUUUUUGAAGAUUUUUUUUUAAAUUUUAAAAGAAAUAGUUUGAUUUAGUUAGUUUAAAUUGAAAUAAUUGAUAAAAUUUAUUAAAUUAGAUUAAUUUCAAUAUUAAUGAGUUAAAAGAGAUUUUAUUCUAUCAUUUUCGUUGAUUUUUUGUGUCCAAAAUUUAUAACUAAAUCGAUUGAAGAAUAAAAAAUUAAUAAUAUUCUUUAAAUAAGGAAAUAAUAAUUUGAAAUUACACAAAAUCAAAACAUUUUUAUAGUUUAACUUCCAAUUGAUUUUUUUUGUUAUUAGAAAACAACAGAGUAAUUAAUAAUAUGCUACAUUCUAAUUUCGUAAAAAAUUCGAAAUAUUAUUUCUGAGACUUCGAAUUCAAGAUUUAAAAGUAAAUUAUAUAAAGUUUAAUAUAAUAUAAAGUAGUUUUUAUUGCAUAAAAUGAAAAUGUGUAUACAUAUAUUCUUACAUGACAUAGAUUUUAUUUGAGUUUAGAAUGACUUAAAGCAGUUAAAAGAGCGCGAGCCAUAAGGCAAAGACAAGGGGGGGGGGGGGGGGGGGGGGUUGUUUUUCCAUUCCAAAUGCAGUUUCCAGUCAUUCAGAUAGGCUAAUUAGUUCCUGCAUCAUCGAAUGACUGGCUCUGGUUCUCUGAAAGUGGUUUUCGGGCCAAGAAGAAAUACGUAGGCGUAAAGAUCUCUUUCCUGAAAUCCAGAAGUAGAGGUUUUGUCAGCAUGUUAGUUGGCGACAGAAAAUGGAGAUUGCAUCUAAUUCAAACUACAACAUUCAUAAACCUAGGGGUAAACCAACAUGCAGAAGUAAUCAUGGAGAACGAGGACUUCUAACUCACCUGCCACCUUCAACCAACCCAUCUGCAGCCUUUUCCAGAAAAUCUUGAACCCUUUGACUUCCCCUUGGAGCAAAUCCCACAAAUUCUAGAGCCUUGACCUGCAAAGGGGAAAAGGUACCGGUAAAUGCAUGCUCUUAUGAACUUAAUAUGACCAUCUCCUCCAAGAAUGGAGGGAGGGGCAUUAGGAAGGUUUUACCAUAUUCCUAGUGAUGAAGCGUCCAAUAGCCGUUGCACGGAAGCUACUCAAUGAGAAGUGGUUUUUAUCUACAGGCAAGUACCAAGGGACGGGGGAGUCAACGGCAACAUCUUUCUCCCAUAUGACCUUGAAGACCAAUAUGAAAAUAAAAAGGAAAAUGGUCACCUCUACACUGGUCAUGAUAUUGCAUCUCCAAUUAAAAGGAAAAGGGAGGGAGGGAAGAAGUAAGAAUUCACCUCAAAACCAGCCCGUUUUAGAGCUUCCAGGCACUGUCUGGUCAACCUGAUGUCUGAAAGACCAUCGCCGAUCUCAAUUUCUGCCUGUGUAAGCAAAACUCUCAGGUAAGAUCAACUCAUGGAUGCACAACAAACCCAGGAGCAUAAACAUGCUCUUUAGAAGCCUACCUUAAUUUUCUGGUGUUCCUGGUUAUUGGGAUCAAAAGAAUCGGUCAUGCACCACUCAGAAGCAGCAAAAUACUGACCAGGCUUCAAUACUCUGAAAAUCUCCUUGUAGCAUCCGUGCUACACACAACAGAUAUAACAAUCAAACUGAUAUAAAUUGGUGUAACAUGAAAACAAUCAAACCAAAACAAAUUAAUAUAGGGUAGAAAAUUCAUAAUCCAUUCCAGCCGAGAUGAAAAUGAUCAUGAUUGACAUACUGCAUCCGGUGCAUGGCAGGUAGCUUGAAUUGCAUAAACUGCAUCAAAGCUGCUGUCAGGAAAUGGCAUCUCCAUAAAGUCGGCCUGUAUUAGAUAUCAAUAAAAAAAAAACCAGUCAUUGUAAUGUAGACCAUUUUUUCUGCAUCUUAAAAACACCUUCUUGCAUGCAAGUGGUUGAAAAUUUUAAAACAAACAGAGAAUAAUAACAGACCUAACGUAAACUUGAGUUCAACAACGAUAAAAACAAAAAACUUGACAUAGAACGUUACCAACCUUCACAAAGUUGCAAGUCUUGUCCACUCCAGCAAUGCGAUUUAAUUCCUGCAAAAAUUCAUCUUUAGAUAAUAGAAUUUUUACGGUGAUUGAACCAAAAACCCGAUACAAAAUGUGACAGAGAUACAACAUCCAUCAACUGUAUAUUACUAUGAUCCAUCACUACAUAUUUCAUUGGGAAAAAGGAUAACUUGAGAAAUUGUUCUUAAAAUCUUGGCAUGAUAUAUAUUGGUCAUAGAGCUACAUUUUUAUUGACCCAAAAAGAACAUAAUAGCUUCCAAAGAUAAAUAAAUUUACAAAGCCAAGGUUGCUGAAAGAAACAAAGAAAAGAAUACUAUCUGCUAAAUAUGCAUAAAUAUUUCCAUCUAAGAAUGAAGAGAUAUGCACCUUCCCUCUUUCUAUUUGAUAUUCAUUGUUGUUCAACCCUGUAACUGAUGUGGAGCUGCAGCAAAUCACCAUACCAACAUAAUUUAGAGGCCUCUUUCAAGACAAUUUUUUUAAUAAGAAAUUGAACUGCCCAAAACCUUAUCAUGAUUUUAUACAAAAGAAUACGAAUAACAUGCAAUAGUACAGGGCCACACCACAUGAAAAAGAAAAGAUGAAAGAAACAAAGGAGGUUCAAAAACGAACUGCUAUUUACCUGAAUCGAGCAAUUUCUCUCAGUGGUCCACCAAUUCCACAUCCAACAUCCAACACCUAAUAUAAAAAUAAAAGCGUAAGUAAAAAAUUCAAACCAAACAGAAAACAGCAAACCUAGAAUGGCAGUGUCUCUGUGAUCUACUGAAGUGGAAGCACCUUGUGUCCAGGCUUCAAGCCAAGUUGUAAAGCAAGAAAAUGCUCAUGCCGCUUUAUGCUCUCGCGAAGAGACUCCCCAUUCCAUCUGCAAAAACAAAUUAGCAUAAUUAUCAACAACAACUUGAAAAAGUAACUGCACCAUCUUGCUUGCAUACGCUAGACAGAAGAGAAAAGAAUGGAUACCUAGGCGCAAAAUGGAAAGAUUCCCCCCAUCCAAACUCAUAAAAGCUGGUAACCAGAUCAUAGUACUUGUUAACCUGAAUUCAAUACAUGGUAUGUUAAUGUUUGCAGACGCAAUCAAGUCCUAGUUUAAGCUUAUUAGCCCGUAAAGCUGUAAGGGAAUAAGACAAAAUGGCAGGUACCAGCACCAUCUUAUAGCCUGAUCAAAUUGACACCUAAAAGUGCCAUUGAGUAAUACAGAGUAAACAAGAAAUAGCAAACAUACAAGCACAUAAUCAUAACUCUUAACAAAAGUUGGAAAUGAUCUAAAGUAAGAAAUCAGACAGCAGGUUGGAAGGUUACACUGAGUGCAAGAUUGGU